UUUGCCUACGGGAGGCAGCAGUGGGGAAUAUUGCGCAAUGGGCGAAAGCCUGACGCAGCGACGCCGCGUGAGGGAUGAAGGCCUUCGGAUCGUAAACCUCUGUCAGCAGAGAAGAACGGUCACUGUGCUAAUCAGCGGUGAAUUGACGGUACCUGCAAAGGAAGCACCGGCUAACUCCGUGCCAGCAGCCGCGGUAAUACGGUGGGUGCGAGCGUUAAUCGGAAUUACUGGGAGUAAAGCGCUCGUAGGCGGUAUGUCAAGUCAAGGGUGAAAU
rnacentral:rRNA from 1 species